ACUUAAAUUGAAGAGUUUGAUCAUGGCUCAGAUUGAACGCUGGCGGCAGGCCUAACACAUGCAAGUCGAGCGGUAGCACAGAGAGCUUGCUCUCGGGUGACGAGCGGCGGACGGGUGAGUAAUGUCUGGGAAACUGCCUGAUGGAGGGGGAUAACUACUGGAAACGGUAGCUAAUACCGCAUAACGUCGCAAGACCAAAGUGGGGGACCUUCGGGCCUCAUGCCAUCAGAUGUGCCCAGAUGGGAUUAGCUAGUAGGUGGGGUAACGGCUCACCUAGGCGACGAUCCC
rnacentral:rRNA from 1 species